GACACAAAACCAAACCAUAUCAGUCUUUAAAGAGUUAAGUUAAAAUAAGCUCUUUAAAGUGGGCCCUAAUCCAGUAUGACUGGUGUUCUUAUAAGAAGAGGAGAUUUGGUCACAGACAUGGUUGCAUGCAGAAUAAAGACUUUUCGAGGACACACUGAGAAGGCAGCCAUCUGCAAAACAAGGAAAGAGUCCUCAGCAGAAACCAGUCCUGCAGACUCCUUGAUCUUGGACUUCCAGCCACUGCAAUUGGGAGUGACCUACAAAAUGCAUAAUGUGAAACAAUGCAAAAGCGAAAGGUGCAAAAUCCCCAUCAAAGAGC
rnacentral:lncRNA from 1 species